GUAAGAUGUGACUUGCUCCUCCUUGCCUUCCACCAUGAUUGUGAGGCCUCCCCAGCCACAUGGAACUACCAGCCAACACUUACGGAAAAUAGAACCUACGUUGAAAUAUUGGGGGCUGGUUUCCUCUAUACAAGAGGAGUCAUGAAUAUUUAUGAAAGGAGAAAUCGCACAUGCACAGGUUCAUAGGCAGAAGGGACUUACCUUGCCUCAGUAUGAAUGAUGGAUAACAGAACCAGAGACUGGGAACAUGGAGGCCAAGGGGGAACUCCUCGGGAGCUGCAACUGACACACAAAGGAAAUUUUAAGCAAGGCAGUGGAAAUGAGAAUGUGAAUUCGAAUUGUUGCAGAAUGUCAAAGGAGAACUCUUCCUGCUGUCUCAGAAUUUCAGCUGGAGCUACAGAGAUCAAAGAGAGGUUGUUAAAUACCCACUAAUUUGAAAGCGAGUUGACAGGCCAGCUGUGCAGAACAUGCUAAGGGGUAACCCCAAAAGACAGAUAAGCCUUUGUCUAUGACGUGCCUCAAGCCAAUACAAGGAGAAAAAAGAAGAGCAAUAAAGGAAAGACCAUGAGGAUGGGUUUCUGUGAGAAGAGCUGUAGAUUUUUCCUUUCUUCUCCAUACCUUGAGCCAAGUUGGGAGGUUGUAAAAAUCCUCUGACAGAGCUUGGGUGUGCUUCCUGCCAGGAGGAAGACUAACCUGGAACAAGCGGGUGGGGAGAGACCUUCAGAGAAUUUGGACUCCCUACAGUCGGGGGCACAGGGUUUUGUGUUGACUUGCACUUGUAGAAGUCCGAUGCCAGCCGGGCGCGGUGGCUCACGCCUGUAAUCCU
rnacentral:lncRNA from 10 species